rnacentral:rRNA from 1 species
UCAUGGCUCAGGAUGAACGGUGGCGGCGUGGUUAACACAUGCAAGUCGAGCGAUGAAGCCCAGCUUGUUGGGUGGAUUAGUGGCGAACGGGUGAGUAACACCUGAGUAACCUGCCCUUAACUCUGGGAUAAACCUGGGAAACUGGGUCUAAUACCGGAUAGGAGCGUCCACCGCAUGGUGGGUGGUGGAAAGAUUUAUCGGUUUUGGAUGGACUCGCGGCCUAUCAGCUUGUUGGUGAGGUAAUGGCUCACCAAGGCGACGACGGGUAGCCGGCCUGAGAGGGUGACCGGCCACACUGGGACUGAGACACGGCCCAGACUCCUACGGGAGGCAGCAGUGGGGAAUAUUGCCCAAUGGGCGCAAGCCUGAUGCAGCGACGCCGCGUGAGGGAUGACGGCCUUCGGGUUGUAAACCUCUUUCAGUAGGGAAGAAGCGAAAGUGACGGUACCUGCAGAAGAAGCACCGGCUAACUACGUGCCAGCAGCCGCGGUAAUACGUAGGGUGCGACCGUUAUCCGGAAUUAUUGGGCGUAAAGAGCUCGUAGGCGGUUUGUCGCGUCUGUCGUGAAAGUCCGGGGCUUAACCCCGGAUCUGCGGUGGGUACGGGCAGACUAGAGUGCAGUAGGGGAGACUGGAAUUCCUGGUGUAGCGGUGGAAUGCGCAGAUAUCAGGAGGAACACCGAUGGGGAAGGCAGGUCUCUGGGCUGUUACUGACGCUGAGGAGCGAAAGCAUGGGGAGCGAACCGGAUUAGAUACCCUGGUAGUCCAUGCCGUAAACAUUGAGGCACUAGGUGUGGGGGACCAUUCCACGUUUUCCUGCCCCCGCAGCUAAACGCAUUUAAGUGCCCCCGCCUGGGGG